CUUGAUGGAGCCGAGCCAGACGGGCCGGCCCGCCGGCCGGUCCUGCCCGUAGGCGGCGAUGACGGCCUGCGCCUC
rnacentral:antisense_RNA from 1 species